rnacentral:rRNA from 1 species
AACGAAAGCCGGGGUAGCAAAUGGGAUUAGAUACCCCAGUAGUCCCGGCCGUAAACGAUGGAUACUAGGUGUUGCGGGUAUCGACCCCUGCAGUGCCGAAGCCAACGCGUUAAGUAUCCCGCCUGGGGAGUACGCACGCAAGUGUGAAACUCAAAGGAAUUGACGGGGACCCGCACAAGCGGUGGAACAUGUGGUUUAAUUCGAAGCAACGCGAAGAACCUUACCAGGGCUUGACAUCUGACUAACCUGAAUGAAAGUUUAGGGUGCCCUUCGGGGAGCGUCAAGACAGGUGGUGCACGGUUGUCGUCAGCUCGUGUCGUGAGAUGUUGGGUUAAGUCCCGCAACGAGCGCAACCCUCGUCGUUAGUUGGUAUGUUUGGUAUACUGAGCAUAACCUCUCUAGCGAGACUGCCGGUGAUAAACCGGAGGAAGGUGAGGACGACGUCAAAUCAUCAUGCCCCUUAUGCUCUGGGCUACACACGUGUUACAAUGGCCGGUACAACGAGCCGCCAACUCGUGAGAGUGAGCAAAUCUCUAAAAGCCGGUCUCAGUUCGGAUUGCAGUCUGCAACUCGACUGCAUGAAGUCGGAAUCGCUAGUAA